CCUACGGGUGGCAGCAGUGAGGAAUAUUGGUCAAUGGACGAGAGUCUGAACCAGCCAAGUAGCGUGAAGGAUGACUGCCCUAUGGGUUGUAAACUUCUUUUUUAUGGGAAUAAAAUGUUCCACGUGUGGGAUUUUGUUUGUACCAUUUGAUUAAGGAUCGGAUAACUCCGUGCCAGCAGCCGGGGUAAUACGGAGGAUCUGAGCGUUAUCCGGUUAUAUUGGGUUUAAAGUGGGCGAAGGUGGAUUGUUAAGACAGUGGUGAAAGUUUGCGGCUAAACCGUAAAAUUGUAGUUGAAACUGGCAGUCUCGAGUACAGUAGAGGUGAGCGGAAUUUGUGGUGUAGCAGUGAAAUGCUUAGAUAUCACGAAGAACUCCGAUUGCGAAGGCAGGUCACUGGACUGCAACUGACACUGAGGCUCGAAAGUGUAGGUAUCAAACAGGAUUAGAUACCCGAGUAGUC
rnacentral:rRNA from 1 species